CCCAAGGGCUUUGGAACUGCGGGAUUGGGACACGUGACUUCCUUGGUCAUUCACCUUGAAGUGGACACGGGCUGGGGUGAGAGAGGGGAAACUGCCCCAUCUUCUCAUCUUAGAACCAUGCAGCGUUAAUGCUGGAAGGGACCUUGGAGUCGAUUCCAACCCCGUGAACUGGGCCAGGGAAGGAAGUGCCUUGCCCAAGGUCAUGAGAUGGGGUUUCAUCAUGUUGCCCAGGCUGAUCUCAAACUCCUGGGCUUGUGUCCGAAAUUGGUGAGUGCUUGGUCUCACUGACUUCAAGAAGGAAGCCGCGGACCCUCGCAGUGAGUGUUACAGCUCUUAAGGUGGUGCGUCUAGAGUUUGUUCCUUCUGAUGUUCGGAUGUGUUCGCAGUUUCUUCCUCCGGGGAGGCUCAUGGUCUCGCUGGCUUCAGGAGUGAAGCGGCAGACCUUCGCGGUGAGUGUUAUAGCUCUUAAGGCAGCGCGGCCGGAGUUGUUCGUUCCUCCCGGUGGGCUCGUGGUCUUACUGGCUUCAGGAGUGAAGCUGCAGACCUUCGUGGUGAGUGUUACAGCUCAUAAAAGCAGUGUGGACCCAAAGAGCGAGCAGUAGCAAGAUUUAUUGCAAAGAGCAAAAGAACAAAGCUGCCACAUUGUGGAUGGGGACCUGUGCGGGUUGCCACUGCUGGCUCGGGCAGCCUGCUUUUAUUCUCUUAUCUGGCCCCAUCCACAUCCUGCUGAUUGGUAGAGCCGAGUGGUCUGUUUUGACAGGGCGCUGAUUGGUGCAUUUACAAUC
rnacentral:lncRNA from 1 species